rnacentral:antisense_RNA from 1 species
UUGACAUACUCCGCAUAAGAACCCGGGCGCCAUGCACCAAUGACAUGGAGAUUUUCACAGCGGGCAAGCUCACCUUUCUGACAGCUUUCACAUUUGCCGCAAUAAAAUGCCGGACA